CGUAACAAGGUAGCUGUAGCUGUAGAUGAACCUGCUGCUGGAUCAUUA
rnacentral:rRNA from 1 species